rnacentral:rRNA from 1 species
GACGAACGCUGGCGGCGUGCUUAACACAUGCAAGUCGAACGGUGAAGGGGCCUGCUUUUGUGGGCCCUGGAUGAGUGGCGAACGGGUGAGUAACACGUGAGUAACCUGCCCCCCUCUUCUGGAUAACCGCAUGAAAGUGUGGCUAAUACGGGAUAUUCUGGGUCUGUCGCAUGAUGGGUCUGGGAAAGAUUGCGCCUUUGGGUGUUUUUGGUGGGGGAUGGGCUCGCGGCCUAUCAGCUUGUUGGUGGGGUGAUGGCCUACCAAGGCGGUGACGGGUAGCCGGCCUGAGAGGGUGGACGGUCACACUGGGACUGAGACACGGCCCAGACUCCUACGGGAGGCAGCAGUGGGGAAUAUUGCACAAUGGGCGCAAGCCUGAUGCAGCGACGCCGCGUGAGGGAUGGAGGCCUUCGGGUUGUAAACCUCUUUCGCCAGUGAAGCAGGCCUGCUCCUUGUGGGUGGGUUGACGGUAGCUGGAUAAGAAGCGCCGGCUAACUACGUG